rnacentral:sRNA from 1 species
AGAGUUAAAUAGUACGUGAAAUUGUUGAAAGGGAAACGCUUGAAGUCAGUCGUGCUGGCGCGAAAUCAGCCCUACCAUUCAGAGAAAGCAUGCGACAGCGAGCGUCAAAACCGCUGCAGCGUGUUUUUCUCUCCAUGGCAGGGUGCACUUUUGAGUCGGCUGGUUAACAUCAAUUUCGAACGUCAUAAAAAGGCUGGAGGGAUGUGGCUCCUUCGGGAGUGUUAUAACCUUUAGCGGAAUGUGGCGGACGGGAUUGAGGAUUGCAACGAAUACCUUUAGGGCUGUUCCACCUGGCCUCUCAUUGGCAUCCUGGCGGCGACAGCUUGCUGACGUCGUUGGGACCCGCCUUUGAACAGGCUAGAGCGUGAGCAAAUUCGUUAAGGAUGUUAACGUAAUGGCUUUAAACGACC